AAACCAACAGGGAUUGCCCUAGUAACGGCGAGUGAAGCGGCAACAGCUCAAAUUUGAAAUCUGGCCCUCGGGUCCGAGUUGUAAUUUGUAGAGGAUGCUUUUGGCGCGGUGCCUUCCGAGUUCCCUGGAACGGGACGCCUUAGAGGGUGAGAGCCCCGUACGGUUGGACACCAAGCCUCUGUAAAGCUCCUUCGACGAGUCGAGUAGUUUGGGAAUGCUGCUCUAAAUGGGAGGUAAAUUUCUUCUAAAGCUAAAUAUUGGCCAGAGACCGAUAGCGCACAAGUAGAGUGAUCGAAAGAUGAAAAGCACUUUGAAAAGAGGGUUAAAUAGCACGUGAAAUUGUUGAAAGGGAAGCGUUUGCGACCAGACCUUUUCCUAGCGGAUCAACCGGUGUUCUCACCGGUGCACUUCGCUAGGUUUAGGCCAGCAUCGGUUUCUGUAGGGGGAUAAAAGCUCUGGGAACGUAGCUCCUCCGGGAGUGUUAUAGCCCUCUGCAUAAUACCCUUACGGGGACCGAGGACCGCGCUUCGGCAAGGAUGCUGGCGUAAUGGUCGUCAACGAC
rnacentral:rRNA from 3 species